CGUCGGAACGGAGCUAAUACCGGAUAAUAUAUUGAACCGCAUGGUUCAAUGGUGAAAGACGGUUUUGCUGUCACUUAUAGAUGGAUCCGCGCCGCAUUAGCUAGUUGGUAAGGUAACGGCUUACCAAGGCAACGAUGCGUAGCCGACCUGAGAGGGUGAUCGGCAACACUGGAACUGAGACACGGUCCAGACUCCUACGGGAGGCAGCAGGA
rnacentral:rRNA from 1 species